AUGCAUGUCUAAGUACAUACCUCGACACGGUGAAACUGCGAAUGGCUCAUUAAAUCAUAUGUUAUUUCUUAGAUCGUACAAUCCUACUCGGAUAACUGUGGUAAUUCUAGAGCUAAUACAUGCAUCCAAGCUCCGACCUCCGGGGAAGAGCGCUUUUAUUAGACCAAAACCAAUCGUCCCCUUCGCGGGGGGCGUCCCGUUGGUGACUCUGAAUAACUUUCCGCUGAUCGCACGGCCACGCGCCGGCGACGUAUCUUUCAAGUGUAUGCCCUAUCAAUUGUCGAAGGUAAGCGACCUGCCUACCUUGAUAAUAACGGGUAACGGGGAAUCAGGGUUCGAUUCCGGAGAGGGAGCAUGAGAAACGGCUACCACA
rnacentral:rRNA from 3 species